UAGCUGGUGGUAGUAGUUUUUGUGUUCGUCGGAAACCUCACAAUAGUAGCUUUUGUAGGCGGUGAUAGUAGCUUUUGUAGGCGGUGCUAGUAGCUUUUGUGGCUGGUGGUAGUAUUUUUUGUGUUCGUCGGAAAUCUCACAGUAGUAGCUUUUGUAGGCGGUGGUAGUAGCUUUUGUGGCUGGUGGUAGUAGCUUUUGUGUUCGUCGAAAACCUCACAGUAGUAGCUUUUGUAAGCGGUGGUAGUAGUUUUUGUGGCUGGUAGUAGUAGCUUUUAUAGGCGGUGGUAGUAGCUUUGUAGCUGGUGGUAGUAGCUUUUAUAGCUGGUAGUAGUAAUUUUUGUCAUCGUCAGAGGUCGGUCGGAAAUCUCGCCGGAGGUCGGCCGGAAACCUCGCCUGAGGUCUGCCUGAAACCUCGCCAGAGGUCCGCCGGAGACUGUUCCGAAAUGAGAGUGAUUGUUGACUUUUUAUACUAGUGGCAUUCUUGUAAAUAUAAAGGAGAAAAUCUAAUUUUUUUUGUUGGAUAGCAGUCUGUAAUUAUGUUGAACUUCAAUACUUAAUACAAAACCUUAUUUAGAUUUGAGUGGACUUAUGUGGGUAAAAAUGUUAGGGUGGAUCUAUGUGGAAAAAAAUGUCUCAAAAUGGACUUAUAUGUAAUUGGCCCUAUAAUUUAUGAGACAUUGGAAGAAACUAACAAGGUGGAACUUACUGAAAAAUAUUGACAACAUUUGAUUGAUGAAUUGGAGUACCUAAUGAUCGUUGACACUUUUAAUAUAUUGAUAUUUGAUCAAUGUACUGCUUUCAAAAUUUAGAGCGUCUAAUAGUCUCCAAAAUUGAAACCCAAAAUGUUGCUAUGAACACUGCUUCAUCUUUAUUAAUAUAUGAUGGAACUUGACUAUAUUAGAACUAGCUCUUAGUGUGUAGCUCCUUUUGUGAAAAACUUCUUGGUUCUAGUCCAACAACAAUGUCUAUUAAAAAAUUUUUGGUUCUAAUAAUUAGACUCAAACUCCAUUGAGAUUAGUUUAAAUCAUUGAGGACAACAUGAAGCUUGCGAGAAUGUUCAACUGUUCAACUUCAGACACGUUGGGCAUAAUAUUGUUGGUAUCAGAAUCUG
rnacentral:lncRNA from 1 species